CCUUGUCAGCAAAUGUUUCCGUGCUGUACAGAAUUAACGUUCGCGGCGAAUCAACCACAGGCAUCUCCCUUUGUCUGAACAGACAUAUAAGGGCCACGUCCUACCGAAAGUGUCUACCGGAAACAUCGCUAUUGUGCCCCUCCUUUUUUGCGUGCGUCUCUAUGGUAGUAACAGUCCUACGUAGGCCGGUCGCCGGUCGCGGAAUAAAUUCUUUCCGUGUGAGGGGCGAUGGAGGCUGCGGAAGGCGUUGAGGUACGAGACCGCCGAAAGACUGAGCAUGAACCGAACCGGCUGGCAGCCGAGGUGGCGGGAACGACGGGGAGCAUCGCCUUGCGGGCCCCCACUCUCCGGGACGUCCUACUGGUUGGACUUCUGGCUUAUGAUCCUUUUCGACUUCGUGCUCUUCGUCUUCGUUUAUCUGCUACCUUAGAGGCAGAAUCGAGGGCUCAGCUGGAACAGAUAACCAGACUGCCUUCAAGAAAUCAGCUAAUGCUGCUACUUUAGCUGCUUUUGCUUCACAACCAAAAUAAAAGAACACUGGAAAACUGUUAUAUCAGAAAUCUCAAUAACAACUCCUCUUUCUAUAUUUAAUUGUUGACAUAUUUUUCUGAGCAAUUGGAUGUGGUGAACUUGCUUUAUGAUGAACUGUCAUGUUUCCCAUUAUUAUUCUUCAAUAAGUGCAAAUUGUGCCUUACAUCAAAUAUAGCACUGUCAUUGAAGUGACACAACACUUUCAAUUAAGUUUGAAGUUGUCCAUUUUCAGCAAUCGACUCUUGGAUCACCAUCCAAGUGGACUGGAGACAAUAUCUCUGUAACAAUAAUUUAUGAACUCCUACCAUAAAAAUAGAAAAUGUAACGUGAUCAAUUCUGAGGGCUGUUUUAGCUGAUUUUAUGUAAAUAAGUUGCAUAUAUUCUUCUCAUAUGCAAGGAAGUAAUUUGCUCUGUUUGAAGUUUUAAAGUACUUUGUGCUCCGCUUUGUGCCUUCAGAAGCAAUAUGUGCAUGGACUGUGCGGAUGGUAUUUUAUGAUCUUUAUGAUAUAUAUAAACAGACCAACCACUUCAAUAAAUUUUACUCAGUCUAAUGUGAUCCGAUCUCCAUAUACUUUAGAUUUGCCCAUUGGAGUUUCAUGUUCUAAAAGUAAGUUGCAGACUUCCUGUUAAUUUUCAUAAUGUUAAAGUGUUUUUCUUUUGAUUGGUUUGUGCUCUACUCUCAAUAAUUCUAAGGUGAACAUUUAUUACAUUUAUAUGCUAGAUUACAUGGAUUCACACAUUUUUGUCAGGCUAGGAUAAAGGUAUUGGUGGAGGUAGGCUGAAGUUCAUUUGAAUAUUGAGAUUGAAUAUGGGCUUUAUUUUUCUUUGAGAAAUUUGAGAGGGGGGUUACGGUAUAUUUAAAGUAAAUACAGUAUUGCUGUUCAAUCUAUAUAGUAGAUGUGUCAAUUCCUUCACAAGAAUUCCCUCUAUAGCCAAGCAAUAAAAAGGACUGGGUGACUGAAUCAAACAUAUUAAUAAAUAUCAUAAUUUGCA